UUUAAUUUCUGUAUUCAUAGUAUUUUAAGUAACACAGAAAAUAUGUUGUUACUCUUUGUUGUUUUGCUUGUCUUUUGCCUGUGUUCCUGGGCAGAGGAGGAGUGCAAGCUGUAAAAUGAAUAUUCUCCAAAUCAUUACACAGGUUAACUCUUCCCCACCUGCCCACCAGUCACAGAAUUCAAUCAACAAGCCUCAAAUUAUGCUGAGAAUAAAUGGAGAUAAACAGCAAACCCAAGGAGACAAAUAAGACGAACACCUUGAAAAGGAACCAGGAAGAAGGUCCAUAGUCCAUAUCCAGCUCCUCCAAAAGUCAUCUCUUCCUCUCAGGAGCAUCUUGCCUGUUUGGCUGGCAGAUUCGCUGUUUGGAGGAAUGCAGCUGUCAUGGGAGGCUGUGAUCAGAGAGAGGGAAGGAGGCCUCUCAGGAUCCAUAACUGCACUCCUAGAUCUGAUCUGAAGUGGUGGAAGUGUCACGUGGUUCACUAUUUCAUCAGACCUAAUAAUUUCCUGAAGGUCUAA
rnacentral:lncRNA from 13 species